UACGUAGGGGGCAAGCGUUGUCCGGAAUUAUUGGGCGUAAAGAGCGCGUAGGCGGUUCAGUAAGUCGGGUGUGAAAACUUUGGGCUUAACCCAAAGCGUGCAUCCGAUACUGCUGUGACUUGAGUUCGGUAGGGGAGUGGGGAAUUCCUAGUGUAGCGGUGAAAUGCGCAGAUAUUAGGAGGAACACCGGUGGCGAAGGCGCCACUCUGGGCCGAAACUGACGCUGAGGAGCGAAAGCAUGGGUAGCAAACAGG
rnacentral:rRNA from 1 species